AGAAGAAGAAGAAGAAGAAGAAGAAGAAGAAGAAGAGACGAAGACACUCAGACAAAAAAAAUCAGCUGUUAAACUCUCAGCUGCUGUGAAGAAACUUGAAACCUGAACCACACAUCUACAAACGGACAGAAAAUGGUGUGACUGAUCAUCAACGCCUGCAGGUACGUGGUGCGGAAGAUCCGAGCGGCAUCGAGAGGCGAGGAGCAGCCGGCGAGGACGAUCACAGCAGCAUGUAGCCUGACAAAAGCACAAACUGACAACAUGAUGAACGGCGAGCCGACCGCGAUCCCUCAGCCGACGCAGGCGGUCGACCUGCUGCCCAAACAACAACAGUGUGGCUCCUGAAAGUAAACCGAGAGCUGGAGGGAAGAGAGGAGGGGUAAUAAUCAGAGAGGAGGGGUAAUAAUCAGAGAGGAGGGGUAAUAAUCAGAGAGGAGGGGUAAUAAUCAGAGAAGAGGGGUAAUAAUCAGAGAGGAGGGGUAAUAAUCAGAGAGGAGGGGUAAUAAUCAGAGAGGAGGGGUAAUAAUCAGAGAGGAGGGGUAAUAAUCAGAGAAGAGGGGUGAUAAUAAGAGAGGAGGGGUAAUAAUCAGAGAGGAGGGGUAAUAAUCAGAGAGGAGGGGUAAUAAUCAGAGAGGAGGGGUAAUAAUCAGGAGACUAAUAUACAAAUGCACACACACAUAGAAAAUAAACACACACACACACACACAGAAACAAACAGCACCCACAUACACACUUCCCUCCACAAUGUGACACAAAUCUCACAUUUUCCUCACCUUCUUCCAGCUCUCAGGUUUUUCUUUCCUCGGUCGUCCGUUCCUGCAGCGACGUGAGCAGAGAGAAUGAAGGUCUGAUUAUCAAAUCCUCCGCAGAGGAACUGAUCAGUCCUGAUCAAUACUGAACAAUCUGCUGAUGAAGCUGCAACAACUCAAAUAUUCAUUCAUUCAUGUUUUAAUUGUCUGUCCCUGGAAUCAUCUUCAGUAAAACAAAAGGACAUUUC